AGUGAACGCUGGCGGCAGGCCUAACACAUGCAAGUCGAACGGCAGCACAGUAAGAGCUUGCUCUUACGGGUGGCGAGUGGCGGACGGGUGAGGAAUACAUCGGAAUCUACUUUUUCGUGGGGGAUAACGUAGGGAAACUUACGCUAAUACCGCAUACGACCUACGGGUGAAAGCAGGGGAUCUUCGGACCUUGCGCGAUUGAAUGAGCCGAUGUCGGAUUAGCUAGUUGGCGGGGUAAAGGCCCACCAAGGCGACGAUCCGUAGCUGGUCUGAGAGGAUGGUCAGCCACACUGGAACUGAGACACGGUCCAGACUCCUACGGGAGGCAGCAGUGGGGAAUAUUGGGCAAUGGGCGCAAGCCUGAUCCAGCCAUACCGCGUGGGUGAAGAAGGCCUUCGGGUUGUAAAGCCCUUUUGUUGGGAAAGAAAAGCAGCAGGUUAAUACGCCGCUGUUCUGACGGUACCCAAAGAAUAAGCACCGGCUAACUUCGUG
rnacentral:rRNA from 1 species